UACGUAGGGUGCAAGCGUUAAUCGGAAUUACUGGGCGUAAAGCGUGCGCAGGCGGUUUUGUAAGUCUGUCGUGAAAUCCCCCGGGCUCAACCUGGGAAUUGCGAUGGAGACUGCAAGGCUAGAAUCUGGCAGAGGGGGGUGAGAAUUCCACGUGUGAGCAGUGAAAUGCGUAGAGAUGUGGAGGAACACCGAUGGCGAAGGCAGCCCC
rnacentral:rRNA from 1 species